rnacentral:misc_RNA from 1 species
UCCGGUUUGUCACCGGCAGUCUCCCUAGAGUCCCCGACAUUACUCGCUGGCAACUAAGGACAGGGGUUGCGCUCGUUGCGGCACUUAAGCCAACACCUCACGGCACGAGCUGACGACAGCCAUGCAGCACCUGUGCUAGCCCCUUGCGGACACGGGCUUUCACCCGCUUUAACUAGCAUGUCAAACCCAGGUAAGGUUCUUCGCGUUGCAUCGAAUUAAGCCACAUGCUCCGCCGCUUGUGCGGGUCCCCGUCAAUUCCUUUGAGUUUUAGCCUUGCGGCCGUACUCCCCAGGCGGGGCACUUAAUGCGUUAGCUUCGGCACGGGGGGAGUCGACACCGCCCACACCUAGCAUCCAUCGUUUACGGCGUGGACUAC